rnacentral:rRNA from 1 species
UACGGGGGGGAGCAAGCGUUGUUCGGAUUUACUGGGCGUAAAGGGCGCGUAGGCGGUCGUGACAAGUCACUUGUGAAAUCUCCGGGCUUAACUCGGAACGGUCAAGUGAUACUGUCGGACUAGAGUACAGAAGGGGCAACUGGAAUUCUCGGUGUAGCGGUGAAAUGCGUAGAUAUCGAGAGGAACACCUGCGGCGAAGGCGGGUUGCUGGGCUGAUACUGACGCUGAGGCGCGAAAGCGUGGGGAGCAAACAGG